rnacentral:rRNA from 1 species
ACAUGCAAGUCGUACGAGAAAGUCCGCUUCGGUGGAUCAGUAAAGUGGCGCACGGGUGAGUAACGCGUGGAUAAUCUACCCCUCAGUUGGGAAUAACGUACCGAAAGGUGCGCUAAUACCGAAUGACACUGCACAUCUUCUGUUGUGUAGUCAAAGAUGGCCUCUGCUUGCAAGCUUUCGCUGAAGGAUGAGCCCGCGUACCAUUAGCUAGUUGGUAGGGUAAUGGCCUACCAAGGCGACGAUGGUUAGCUGGUCUGAGAGGAUGAUCAGCCACACUGGAACUGAGACACGGUCCAGACUCCUACGGGAGGCAGCAGUGAGGAAUAUUGCGCAAUGGGGGCAACCCUGACGCAGCAACGCCGCGUGAGUGAGGAAGGUUUUCGGACCGUAAAGCUCUGUCGAGCGGGAAGAAAUGCAUGGUGGCUAAUAUCCAUCAUGCUUGACGGUACCGCUAAAGGAAGCACCGGCUAACUCCGUGCCAGCAGCCGCGGUAAUACGGGGGGUGCUAGCGUUGUUCGGAAUCAUUGGGCGUAAAGAGCGUGUAGGCGGCUGGAUAAGUCAGAUGUGAAAGCCCUGGGCUUAACCCAGGAAGUGCAUUUGAAACUGUUCAGCUAGAGUAAGGGAGAGGAAAGUGGAAUUCCUGGUGUAGAGGUGAAAUUCGUAGAUAUCAGGAGGAACACCGGUGGCGAAGGCGACUUUCUGGCCCUAUACUGACGCUGAGACGCGAGAGCGUGGGUAGCAAACAGGAUUAGAUACCCUGGUAGUCCACGCUGUAAACGAUGUUCACUAGGUGUUGGGGGUAUUGACCCUCUCAGUGCCGCAGCUAACGCAUUAAGUGAACCGCCUGGGGAGUACGGUCGCAAGAUUAAAACUCAAAGG